AUUGAACGCUGGCGGCAGGCCUAACACAUGCAAGUCGAGCGGAUGAAGAGAGCUUGCUCUCUGAUUUAGCGGCGGACGGGUGAGUAAUGCCUAGGAAUCUGCCUGGUAGUGGGGGAUAACGUUCCGAAAGGAACGCUAAUACCGCGUACGUCCUACGGGAGAAAGCAGGGGACCUUCGGGCCUUGCGCUAUCAGAUGAGCCUAGGUCGGAUUAGCUAGUUGGUGAGGUAAUGGCUCACCAAGGCGACGAUCCGUAACUGGUCUGAGAGGAUGAUCAGGCACACGGGAACUGAGACACGGUCCAGACUCCUAUGGGAGGCAGCAGUGGGGAAUAUUGGACAAUGGGCGAAAGCCUGAUCCAGCCAUGCCGCGUGUGUGAAGAAGCUCUUCGGAUUGUAAAGCACUUUAAGUUGGGAGGAAGGACAGUAAGUUAAUACCUUGCUGUUUUGACGUUACCGACAGAAUAAGCACCGGCUAACUUCGUGCCAGCCGCCGCCGUAAUAC
rnacentral:rRNA from 1 species